CACACACACACCCCAUGACAGACAGACACACACCAUGAGGGACAGACACACACAAAAUGACGGACAGACAGACACACACACCCAGGUGUCUGCCCGGCCCCAGGUGCCGACGGCCCACCGGGAAAUUUCCCGGUAUCCCGGUGGGCCAUUCCGGCCCUGUUUGUAGGUAACCUGUAGUUUUUGUAGUUUUUUUUUCUGUAGUUUUUGAUCCUUUU